rnacentral:lncRNA from 1 species
CGAGCUAUACAAGAAAGGAUGGGAUACUUCGAAGAAUGAAUAUACCACCAUUGAAGAAUGUUGAAAUUGUCUCUGCGAUCGAAUGUUUCUUCCUCCAAGUAUCUAUCAAGCUCAUUAGCAGAUUGGCGUUGCUUCUGGUGCAAGUGUUGAUCCCAAUCUGCCAAAGGAUCAUUCUCUUCAAUCAUAACCUCAUCAUUUUUCUGUCCUUGAGUUGACUCACCCAAUGCAUCUGCCAUUUGUGAAGAAUAUUCUUCAAACAGGCUGUUAAGAGCUUUUUUCACAGCAUCCAAGUGUUUCUCUAUAUCAGAACCAAAGGCUUGUUUUAAACGAAACUCAACGAAGCUUAGUUUGAAUCGAGGAUCAAGGAUCACAGCUAUACAAUUUGGCAAAUAUGACUCGGUCCAGUAUUUGUCAAACUUUGCUUGCAUCACAACAACCAUUGCUCGAAUAACAUCAUUCUCUGACGAUGCUUCCUUCUGAAGUAACACUCUCACAUUCCAUAUUUGAUGGAAGUACAUAUUUGAGGUAGGAUAACUUGAACCAGAAACUACUUCUGUGGCUGUGUGAAAGACUCUUAACAUAGCACAAACAGUUUCAGCUCUUUUCCACUCUUCCGAUGAUGGACAUAAUUUGUAAUCCUUGUCCCGUCUAACCAAAGUACGAAAUGCUCUUCGAAAUGGGAGAGAUGACUCUAACAUAAGAAAGGUGGAAUUCCAACGCGUUGGCACAUCGACUAAGGGGAGUUUGCAAGAAAUACCAACUUCUGCAAUUACUGCUUUGAACUUAUCCAACCGAGAGGGGGAACUCUUAACAUACUUUGCACUCUCUCUUAUAUUAUCUAUCACACCUUUCAUCACUAUCAACCCAUCUUGGACAAUCAAAUUUAGCACAUGGCAUGCACAACGAAUGUGAAAUAAUUGACCUUCAAUAGGCAACAUAUGCUUGCUGUUCAGAUUUUUUCUUAGAUAGUCAACCAUUGUGCCAUUAACAGCUACAUUGUCUAAUGUUGUACUAAAGAGUUUGUCUUCAAUAUUCCAAUCUUGCAAACUCUUUAACAAUACAUAAAACAUUGAUAUUCCAUUAUGUGGAGUCUCUACCAUAAAAAACCUUAUGAUCUGUUUUCUCAAAGCCCAAUUUGAGACAAAAUGGCAAGUUAUGCAUAGAUAUGACAAAGUUUGAUUAGACGUCCACAUAUCAGUUGUUAAAGAGACUCUGCCUCUAUAUUUCUUGAAACCUUCACAGAAUUUUAAUCUCUCUUGAUUAAAUUGUUCCAUGCAAUCAUCUUUAAUAGUACCUCUAGAAACCAUGCUAAACAAGGGAUUCAAGCUUUUCACAAAGUCUCGAAAGCCACUAUACUCAACAAAUGAGAAAGGCAACUCAUCCAUUACUAUCAUUCUAGCCAGCAACUUUCUAGAUGCAAUCUGAUCAAAACUCCAUUGCUGAAGCAUAGAUCCAUGAGGAGAUGAAAUUGAGGACUUCAACUUGUCAACAACAAGGGACAAAUCUGACCUUUUCUCGCAAGCAGCCAAGUGCCUUUGUACACCAUUAGUACCCACGCCACGUCCAGCUGGAAACACCUCAAGACAGUGGUUGCACUGAGCUUUGACAAGUAUGUUACGAUGAUAAAUAGGUUUGGCAUCCCUCCAAACAACAGAAGUUAAUCUUCGUGUCUUGCGGA